CGGACCGGCGCACGGGUGAGUAACGCGUAUGCAACUUACCUAUCAGAGGGGGAUAACCCGGCGAAAGUCGGACUAAUACCGCAUGAAGCAGGGGCCCCGCAUGGGGAUAUUUGCUAAAGAUUCAUCGCUGAUAGAUAGGCAUGCGUUCCAUUAGGCAGUUGGCGGGGUAACGGCCCACCAAACCGACGAUGGAUAGGGGUUCUGAGAGGAAGGUCCCCCACACUGGUACUGAGACACGGACCAGACUCCUACGGGAGGCAGCAG
rnacentral:rRNA from 1 species